AUGGAGAUGAAGAAGCCUCACGCGGUGAUCGUGCCGUUGCCGACGCAGGGGCACGUCACGCCCAUGCUGAAGCUGGCCAAGCUUCUUCACUGCAAGGGCUUCCACAUCACCUUCGUCAACACCGAGUACAACCACCGGCGCCUGGUCCGCUCCCGCGGCGACGCAGCCGUGGAGGGCCUCCCGGACUUCCGCUUCGCCACCAUCCCCGACGGCCUGCCGCCAUCGGACGCGGAUGCCACGCAGGACAUACCCUCCCUGUGCUACUCCACGAUGACCACCUGCCUUCCCCCCUUGAAGAGGCUGCUCGGGGAGCUCAACAGGGUUGGGCCGCCGGUGACGUGCGUGGUGGCGGACAACGUGAUGAGCUUCAGCGUGGACGCGGCGGCGGAGAUCAGGGUGCCGUGCGUCCUCUUCUGGACCGCCAGCGCCUGCGGCUACAUUGGCUACCGCAACUUCCGGUUCCUCAUGCAAGAGGGCAUCGCUCCCCUCAAAGAUGAAGCGCAGCUGAGCAACGGGUACCUGGACACGCCGGUGGCGCAGGCUCCCGGGAUGAGCCGGCACAUGCGCCUCCGGGACUUCCCUUCCUUCAUCUGCACCACCGACCGCGACGACGUGAUGCUCAACUUCUUGCUGCACCACUCGGAGCAGGCGGGCCGCGCGGCCGCCGUCAUCGUCAACACCCUGGACGAGCUUGAGCAGCCGGCGCUGGACGCCAUGCGCGCCAUGCUCCCGCGCGUCUACACCAUUGGCCCGCUCAACCUCCUCGCGGACAAGGGCGAAGCCGGCCCGCUCGCCCGGAUACGCGCCAGCCUCUGGAGGGAGGACCGCUCCUGCCUAGAGUGGCUCGACGGCAGGGAGCCCCGGUCGGUGGUGUACGUCAACUUCGGGAGCAUCACCACCAUGUCCAGCGAGGAGCUGGUGGAGUUCGCGUGGGGCCUGGCCAACUGCGGCCACCCCUUCCUGUGGAUCGUGAGGAAUGACCUGCUGGCCAAGGGCGCCGCCGUGCGGCUGCCUCCCGAGUUCCUGGAGGCCACCAAGGGGAGGUGCCUCCUGGCGAGCUGGUGCGAGCAGGAGGCGGUGUUGCGGCACCAGGCCGUCGGCGUCUUCCUCACCCACAGCGGGUGGAACUCGGCCCUGGUGUCCAUCAGCGCCGGGGUGCCCAUGCUCUGCUGGCCCUUCUUCGCCGAGCAGCAGACCAACGCCCGCUACGCGUGUGUCGAGUGGGGCGUCGGCAUGGAGGUCGGCGACGACGUGCGCCGCGAUGAGGUGGAGGCCAGGAUAAGGGAGGUGAUGGGAGGCGAGGGAGCUGGGAGGGAGAUGAAGCGCAGGGCGGCCGAGUGGGAGGAGAUGUGUGUCCGUGCAACCGCGCAGCCGGGUGGCAGGUCCAUGGCCAACCUUGACAGCCUCAUCAAGGAUGUGCUGCUCACCGCAACACCAACAAACUAA
rnacentral:rRNA from 1 species